rnacentral:lncRNA from 12 species
GAUGAAGGACCCCUGAGAAAUGAAAAGCAAACAAAGAACAACAAAAGCAACUUCGUUGGCUCCAGGACUGGGUUUGGCCCAUGGACAAAACUUAAGUUAUUUAUCCUAGUCCUGUGGCACAUAUGUAUAAAUUGCCUUGGGCUCUGCUUUCUACAACUGAAAUGCCACCGCAUGCUUCAACCAUUUACAUCUCAUCUCCUGAACCAGCUCAAGCUCUCGGAGAGUAGAGGCUGUGACUUCUACAUCUUCCUCCACAUUGCCUACCAAAUUCUACACUAAAGAAGGAGAAAAUCUGCUAAAAGCACAUCACUGAUGAUCAAAAUUUGUUACUCUCUUUCCCAAAGUCAUCAUUUUAUGUCAUAAUGACCGAAGCCCUCUUGAGAAGGAAAUCAAGAGAAGACACAAGCUCAAGUCUAGAAUCUGGAAUUAGAAUGUAACCAGUCCCAGGUGUCUUUGCAUUUUUACCAGGGGCGAGGGGUAGGUACUGAGGCAUUUGUAACCUGUAAAGAACUCAAGAGCCAAUUGUGAUUUAGAUAUAUGCUCUAAACUUGGGGAGGGAGGGUAUUACCUUAGGGUAGCCAUACUUUGUGAUGUGAGCAGAGGAGACAUUUUUAGGUUGGGAGAAGUGAGGGAGCAAGCACGGCAUUGAAAAGUCUCGAAUUGCAAAGUGACCGCCAAUUCUACAUCUUGGGUCCUGCUGAAUCUAUUGUAGUUCCUUGACUACCUCUACAUGACCCAGGAAGGAGGAAGAGAGAAAAAGAGAGGGGUGUCUACCUGCAUUAGCUAAAUAAUGCACACAGAGUUCACAAAUGGGCCUUUCUUUCUCCCCUCUAGGGUGUGCCAGGAAUGCCUCCUGUCUGCUUCUGUCAUUUUUUUUUUAAGUUAGAUAUUUGCUCUUCUACCAGAAAGCCUUUCUAUUGACAAAGUAACAGAAGAGUAAAUUUUAACUUGAAGUUUUUCCACAAGGCAGAUGUCUUUUCUUGUGAGAAUUGGCAUAUUUUUACCCUCAGAAUGAUCUCUGCUUUCAUAUGCCUAAUUAAAUUUUAGAGGUCCCCUGCUUAAAUAAAGAUUUAUUAGCUGUUAAAGUUGUAGCGUAA